rnacentral:rRNA from 1 species
GAUGAACGCUGGCGGCGUGCUUAACACAUGCAAGUCGAACGAGAAGUGGAGACGGAAACCUUCGGGCGGAAGACUUUACUUCGAGUGGCGGACGGGUGAGUAACGCGUGGGUAACCUGCCUCAUACAGGGGGAUAACAGUUGGAAACGACUGUUAAUACCGCAUAAGACCACAGCACCGCAUGGUGCGGGGGUAAAAACUCCGGUGGUAUGAGAUGGACCCGCGUUCGAUUAGCCAGUUGGCGGGGUAACGGCCCACCAAAGCGACGAUCGAUAGCCGAUCUGAGAGGAUGACCGGCCACAUUGGGACUGAGACACGGCCCAAACUCCUACGGGAGGCAGCAGUGGGGAAUAUUGCACAAUGGGGGAAACCCUGAUGCACCGACGCCGCGUGAGUGAAGAAGUAUUUCGGUAUGUAAAGCUCUAUCAGCAGGGAAGAAAAUGACAGUACCUGAGUAAGAAGCCCCGGCUAACUACGUG